rnacentral:rRNA from 1 species
CACGUAGGGCGCAAGCGUUGUCCGGAAUUAUUGGGCGUAAAGAGCUCGUAGGCGGUCUGUUGCGUCCGCUGUGAAAACUCGGGGCUUAACCCCGAGCCUGCAGUGGAUACGGGCAGACUAGAGGUAGGUAGGGGAGAAUGGAAUUCCCGGUGUAGCGGUGAAAUGCGCAGAUAUCGGGAGGAACACCGGUGGCGAAGGCGGUUCUCUGGGCAUGUCCUGACGCUGAGGAGCGAAAGCAUGGGGGAGCAAACAGG